AGAUUAGUGUAAAGUGUUUUGCUAAUGGAGCAAGGGUGGUUUUUUACUUUAUAAAUACCCUUCUCUUAGAGCUACUACCUUCCAUAUUCUGCAUCUCUACUGUGUAGAUUUUAGCAAAGAAGAAGAGAGAAAGCAUAGGCAGAAACCUUUGUUUCUGUCCUUAAUUAUCUUCUCCCCCUUGUUUCCUCACCAGGUCGGUCUGCAAAAAACUGAAACAUCAUCUGAUCAUCACUUUUCAAUGCUUCACCUCUUUUGGGGCUGUCAGUUUUUUCACUUCAAAUCUUAGAGUUCCACGUUAAUAAGCUCCUUCUGAUCGAUGAGAAGCAGUAGGAGAAGGAAGGAAAAAUUGGAAUCCUACAAGUUGUAAGAUUCCAGGGUUUUCCUUUCUUUUCCCACGACUUCUCAGCGACAACUGGGAGAGUAAAUGUUAAAAUUUAUCAUUUUAUGGACCCAUUUUUUGCUGUUUGAUUCAGCCAGCAACCACGGAUUUCCAAAACCAAUCGAGGGAGGUCUCCCCCCAGAGAAAAAUGGGAAGGGGGAAGAUCGAGAUCAAGCGGAUCGAAAACACCACUAACCGGCAGGUUACUUUCUGCAAGCGCCGCAACGGCUUACUCAAGAAGGCCUAUGAAUUAUCUGUCCUAUGUGAUGCAGAGGUAGCCCUCAUCGUCUUCUCCAGCCGCGGCCGCCUCUACGAAUAUGCCAACAACAGGUAUUGUAUUACUGUUUAAUUAAUUAAUUUCUCCUUGUUGAUCCUUUGUUUUCUUUUCUCAGCUUCUUCUAAGGUUUUGUUUUUCCCUUUUUGAAGGCCUACAAUUUAUUAAGUUAGAAUUAUGGUUCCUGGUUGCCAAGAUUUGAGCUCCUGCAAUAGAUCUUUAGGUGGAUUCAAGCACAAGAACAUAAUCAUUCUUCCUGCAGUUAGAGAUUUGAGUUUCUCUCUAACAAAGAUUCAUUUUUUUUUCUUUCCAUUUUGUUUUUUUCCCUCUGUGAGCUUUAUGGGUUUUCUUCUUUUUUGUGAUCCUUUUUUAGUUCAUAGUUUGUUGGAUACAUAGAUCCGUGGUAAUAGAUAGAAAUGGAAGGCUUACUGUUGUAGUAUAUAUGAACAAGUAGAGAUUUUGGGAAGGUAUGCAGGUCUGUGAGAUCAGCCUCUUAUCUCCUCCAUUGUUGUUAAAAUUUGCUGUUUCCUUUAUCUUUUUCUUCCAUUAUUCCUGUCUCUCUCUCUCUCUCUCUGGUACAUGUCAUGUGUAUGAGGUUAAGAAAGCGUAGAACAAAGCUGUCACUCUCUCAUUAGCCCAUUUCUCUCCAUCUCCUUGACACUUCCUUAAUAUCACGUCAGUUGAAAAUUACACACAUAAAGAAAAUAGAAGUACUAUGAGAAAGUUGUCACGUACCAUUUUUUCAAAAACCACAUUAGGGUUUCGAAAACAACUCAAAUGGGUUUCUCUUCAAACAUGUUAGAUCACCCUUUUCCAAGUUUCCAACCAACCACCGUCGUAAUGGGUCACAACCCAUCACACCCAGAUUAGGGUUUUUCCUAAUCCGCACGAUAUCUUCAAUGAUUUUUCUCAUCUCACGAUUUUUAAACACGUGAAAGACUACCACCAUUCACCAGUCAAACAAACCCAAAUUCGGUUUUAAUAGCAACCACAUGAGGUUUCUCAACUGGUUCCCAACUCUUAAUCUGGUAUUCCUUAGAACAAGUAAAAGACGCUUCCACAGCCAAUCAAACCAACCUAGGGUUUUCACUCAGUUUUGGAUUUUUUCCCGCUCCACAGAACAUGUGCUGGCUGGGGGUUCUGGUUAGGAAUCAACAGCAGAUUAGGUGGUGGGUGAUGAGUGAUGGUGGACCUGGUGGCGUAGUUUCUUAGUUACAGAAUCUUGGGUCACGUCACGCACGAUUUUUCAGUUCUUAAGACUUCUGACAAAAGAGUGGUCUCAUGAUUCCAAUAUUGGGGUUCUCUUUUUUUCAUCAAUCCGAACCCUAAUUUUAUCUCCAAAGGUGAAAACAGUCUCAUGGGUUUGCAUUUCUUGUGCUUAUAUAUACAUCUCUUUGGCUUUCUGGGUUGAACCUUUCACAAAGCCUCGGUAGCCCAAACACCAAAGAGAGCUGAGACAGAGUGAAAGAGAGAGUUGCACCAAUGAAAUUGCCUCUUCUGAGACUCGUCAUCAUCUCCCCACUGUAAGCACCAGUGAAUGAAAUUUGCGUUUGUUGAAGAUCUUGCAUAGAUAUAUUUAUGCAAGACCUUAGAGAGAGAAACAACGUACGAGCUCUCUGAGAGAGCCAAUGAGAGAGCUCUGAGCAUUUUGCUUCUUUCAUGCAUGGGAAACGUACAACAUUGGCUGCUCCUGAAUUGGACGGCUCUGAUCUGCUGUCCUUAGUCUUACACAUGACAGAAAAGACUCAGUUUUUAUUUCCUUUGAUCUAAAAAACCAUUUUUUUGAAUUCACCGAGGUGGGUAAAAGGACAAGGUUGAGGCGAUUACCCACUGGGUAACUGGGUUUCGGACACGUGUCUGAGAUCUGAGCGUUGAAAUGGUCCAGCCAAUCAUAGUGUGGAAACCAGUUCCAACGUGGCAGAGACAGCCAAUCAGUGGCUCGACGAAUUUAAGGUAUCAGCACUCGAGGAAAGAGAAGUCCUUUUUUCAGUGAUUUCAUAUUUUAAUAUAGAAAAUAUUAAGUUACAUCAAGUCACAUUCAAUAUUGAGUUGAGCCUCUGCCUCUUUCAAACACACUCCACAUUUUUUCAUUUUGUUAAUUAGCUUUACGUAUUGGAUUCAGUUAACUGAGGGAGUUGGUUGAUUUGACCGUUAACAAAGCCUCUCCUUCUGUAGUUUUUUAAGUCCAUAAUUAUGUCUCUUAUGCAGUACGGUACACGUGGCAGAAAUUUAAAUUUAAAUCAACAGAAAAGUUGAUGAUUUUUUGGAGCUUGUUAAUGAAAAAUAAUGUUGCAGUUGAGAUGGCAAAAGUGUAUAAGAUAAGAACAGACAAAUAAAGAGUUCUUAUUUUUUAUGAUUGUUUCUUCAUAGCAAUAUUUCUCUUCUUAAUUUCUUUAAAGAUAGAAGCAUUGAUAUUUGCCAUUGCAGGACAUGUUCUUUUAGAAACAUCCUAGGGUUAAACACCAUAGCUGCCUAUGUUUGACAUAAAUCAAUCUAUGAGGUCGAUCUGGCCCAUAGUCAUUCAAUGAUUUGUGGAUGCUCUAAUGUUUGCUGUUAUUGUUUGUUCCUACAUUUCUCUUUUGCCUUCUGAAAAAUUUCUUCUCUUAGAAUUACAAAAAUGAUGGCUAUAUCAUAUGGUGACGUCUUAAAGUUUAUACUAGAUAUUCCACUUAACUAAUACUCUAUGACAGCAGUGUUAAAUCAACAAUUGAGAGGUAUAAGAAGGCAAGCGCUGAUUCCUCCAACACCGGGUCCGUUUCUGAAGCCAAUGCUCAGGUGUGUGUUUCAUUAACUCCUUAUGCUGAUGGGAGUUGUUAUUUCCAUGGAAAGAUUGAUAAAAGCUUCUUCCAUUUGAUGUGAAUUAAUGGUUGCACUUGAAUUUUGAAAGAGAUAAUGUAAAUUAUGGGCAUAAAUGGGAGAUUACCAAGGAAUGCAUGUGAUUAAACUGAUAAUUCAAUGUGGUAAAUCUUGAUAGAAGAUCAUGAAAGUUAGUUGAAAUUGGGUUGAGUGGGAUCCGAGCAGAAUAUGAUAAACCUUUGAACUGAUGGAUUUUCUGGUUAGGUUACCAUAACCCACUUCAAAUUCAUGAAAAUGAUCAAAUUUCUAGUUUUAACCUAAAACUUUCACUUGCCCAUCAUAUAGAGCAGCAUCUUAUAAUUUUGUGUGGCUCCAUCAAAUGCAAUUCUUUUUUCAUGAGCUUCAAAUAUAGUCAUUGCCUGCCAUUUUCAUUUUAGUUUGGUGAGUUUUCUCUAGUCUGCUAGCAUAUGUUUUCUGACUUCUAAGCCAUUAUAUUCAAGGAAGAACGGCUUUUUAGGAUGACAAAUUUGUGGAUGCAUUUGUUAAAUAAAGUUCAGUCAUACAAAUUUAAUCAUAUUUUCUCAUACAUGGAAAUACAUCUCAGUUCUACCAGCAAGAAUCCUCCAAACUGCAUCAGCAGAUUCGUAAUUUGCAGAAUUCGAACAGGUAAUCUUAAGGAAUAUUUAUUUUGUUUCAUACAAAUUUGAUGCAUUUACCUUUUCUUUCACAACCCAUAUUUCCAGGCACAUGCUGGGUGAGUCUCUGGGCUCCUUGAAUUUCAAGGACCUCAAGAGCCUGGAGAUUCGGUUAGAGAAAGGCAUAAGUAGAAUCAGAUCCAGAAAGGUAUCUAUUUCAUACUAUGGGAUUUUGCUUGUUUCUAUCUCAUGAGGCCUUUCUAAUAAGUUUUCUCUUCUUUUCUUUUCCUUUCUUUUUUCUUUCCCUUUUCUCCAAUCUCAAACAGAAUGAGCUGUUGUUUGCUGAGAUCGAGUAUAUGCAAAAGAGGGUAACUAUAUGCCUAGUCUUAUACAUAUAUAUAUUCCUCCUAAACACUACUUUCAUUACAUGUCAACUUUACCACUUAAGUUAAGAUGCAUUUCAAACACAAAAUUCCAAUUUUCACUGUAUACGAACUUAGCUAGACAACCAUUUAUAAAUAAGUUCAUGUAUUUCCCACAGUAGGGUGAAGCUGGCACAAGAAGAAUAGUAUGAAGCAACUUCUAUAGCUUUCAUGUAUCCAAAAAAUUGCUAGACAAAACAUUGGGCUUUAUUAUGCUUUCACUUAACUUACCAACUAGUUUUGGUUUUGGAGUUUGCUUUUGAUCAUUUGUCACCCUAGAAGAGCUUUUGGAGAAGACUACAAAAAAAUGAAUGGAUAAAACAAUUACAAAAAUUCAUUCUUUUAGAGUUUUUUUAAACAGAUUAUCUAAAUAGAAAUUACACAUGGUUAUGAAGAUGCUAAGGACCAAACAGAAAGCAAGAAAUGAGGCAGAAGUUGUUUACAUUGUUGCACUACAAAUCAUAAUGCUGAUUAACAUGGAACACUUCCAUAGAAGUUUUGACUAGAAGGUUAAGGUUGAUUAACAUGGAACAUUUCCACAAAUUAAACUCUUAAUUGAUAUAGAAGGAGAUGGGACUCCAGCUCCAGGUAGAACAUUUACCUUUAUAGAAUAACUAGUCCAAAUUUGUCCAAAAGAAAUGCUUACCUUAGAAAAAUUCUUACACUCUUUUUGCAAAAACUGAUUCCUAUAUAAAUUGGCUGAACAAUGGUGGAUUGCUAAAUUUCUUUUCUUUGCAUGUGAGCCAAGAGAAUAUAUCUUGUGGUGUCAGAUUUUUAAGCUGAGUAAUGAUAUAAUGAAGAAGACCUUUUUAACCCAGAACUAGCCUUGAAUUUAGAAACUGUUACUAGUCUGAUAAUUUGCUUUUCUUGGCUGACUUCAUACUUCAUUAUACUACUUCCAAAAAUUUCAUCUACUUAAACAUAUGCAUAUUAUAUAUAUAUAGGUGAUAUUACCUCUCAAUAUCACAAUCAUUAACAUGUCUUGAUUUACUAAUAGCAUUUAAACUAGCUUUUAAUCAGUUCUUAAAUAUAAUAUUUCUACCACAAUUUCUAAAUUUGGCUACCUAAUUAAAGGAUGGAUGGAAAAGAAGGUCCAAUACUGUCUUUGUAAUGGUAAUUAAUAUACACAUGUCACACUCUCAUGGAAUUAACAUUUAUGAUACCAUGUUUGAAAUAUGGUUUACCUUCUAUGCUGCACACAAUUGCCUAAGACACCAAAAUUUUGAGGGUCCAAGUGUUGAGGCCAAUCUUCUCAAGCUCCUUCCUGAAGAGAAUUUUUGUUUUUGAAUAUUCAACCCCAUUAAGCUCCUCAUUUCAAGUACACUCUAAUUAAUUUAGAAGUCAGUUAAACAUUUUGUUGGAUUUAUCUUAAAGUUUAUUGGAAUGACUAGGAGGAUCAAAUGUUUUAAGUUGAUUCCAUAAGCAGUUGAAACCUUUUGCAAAGUAUUGGAAAAUGGCACUGCAAGGUUCUUUUAGGAGCUUCCUAUGGGAGUAGAUUAUUAUCUACCAUACAUUCAAAACAUGAAUAGUUAAUUUGAUUAUCAUGCUUAAGAAGAUAUAAUAUAACUGAUUUCACUAUCUUUAAAAAUAAUGAAAGGGAAAAAAAAAAAAUCCAUGGUAGUAUAGGUAAAGAAGAGAACUUUAGGAUGGCAAGGGAUGGAUAGUUUGGACCAAUGACAUAAAAGGAACCAUAUGAUGGAUACAACUCUGGAUUUUCUCUGCCCUAAAUCCUUACCUUCUUUGUCCCUAAUGAUGGAUUAGAGUAAUGUUAAAAAUUGGCAAUCCUUUUUUCUCCUGCCAUUACUCUCAUCCUUAUGAACUAUGAUUAAGUUUUCCACUGCAAUAUAAUUCUAGAUUUUUUUUUUCUCAUUCACUCACAAGCUUUUUCAAUAAAUAAAAUCUUAACACAUGACUGGAAAUUGCCAAAAACUUUUCAACUAGGUAAUUCAUAAUGGUUAGUCUAUUUCCACUUCAUCUUUUGCUUAUUCACUUUGUAGUUUGAGGCUUUUCCUUUUGUUGAAACCAACAAUCUUUUCUUUGUGAUCAUUUUGCUUUACUUGAUAUCAACAUUGUUUAAGUUCAGGGACUAGCAAUAUUGUCAUGCCUAAAUUCAAAGAAUGUUGGGUGGAUGAGCAAUUAGUGUAGCAGAAAUAGAUCUACUUGAUAAACUAUCAUCCAUCACAAUAUUUUUGGCACUGAAAAUGGCUUUAGAACAGGCAUCUCUUUCAGAGAUUUAUGCUCCUGCUAAGCAUGUUCUGUAAAAAGGUAUGGGCCAAUAUGAUAAUUUUUAAUAGUGACAAUCUCCUUGAUGUUGUCCAUCUGGUGCUGGCUCCAUAUCACUGAGCACAUGCCAAAAAACUAUCCGGAUAUGAUACUCAAGAACUGUAAUCUGUUAUCAUUUGGGAGGAGAGAAAAGGAGAAAGACAUAAAGGAUAAUAGAAAGCAUAAAAACACGAGCAAAACUAAAUUAAAUGACACUUACAUUGGACCUCAUACUCUAUCCACCUUAUUAUAAUUCUUGAAAUCCCCCCUUUUUUACUUGUAAUUCGUGACUUUUAAGUUUUCAAAAUGAAAUAUGAGUAUGGCUUACGAAAUUUUGGAGCUUUUGGAGUGUUUGAUUGUUCUGAGGUGAUCAUAAAGCCUACAAUCACCAAGAAAACUGGCUGUCAUCAAUGAAAGUAUGAGUAUAUAUAUCACUAUAUGGAAGGCUGAACUUGUCCAUGAAAAUGCGCCUAAUAAACUUCCAUACUAAAGAUGAAAGAUUGCUGACUUGAUUAGGCAACACAAAAUUGGGGUACCCAUGUUCAAAAAUUUCCCUUUCUCUCACGUAAUUAUUCAUUCUCUUUAUAUGUUCCAAGCAUCUUCUGCUUCUUCAACAUCCACCCCUCUCUCUCUCUCUCUCUCUCUCUCUCUCUAUAUAUAUAUAUAUAUAUAUAUAUAGAAUAGGAAAACUGCAAGAUUAAUGUAAUAUUAUAUUCUUGAGGGUCCUUAAUAGAAUUGAAAACUGCUUGCAGUUAUGUUAUUUGCUUAUGUAUUUUGUUAGAAACUAAAGAAAGUUUCCCUACCUCGGAACAUCCACUGAAAAAGGAAGUUGAUGACAAAUAUGAAGUUUAUUCCAAUUUCCUUGCAUUUUAUUUGUUUAUGCUUCCCUCUUCAUGAUAAACCUGUGUUGCAGGAAAUAGACUUGCAUAAUGAUAACCAGUAUCUCCGAGCAAGGGUAGCUCUCUCCCUCUUUCACUCUUAUUUGUGAUUUAGAGGUUCUCUCAAGUGUAUUAGUGGCUAAUGAGGCUCUUUCGGGUGUCAUAGAUAGCCGAGAAUGAGAGAAACGAACAGCAGAUGAGCUUGAUGCCAGGAGGAGCUAACUAUGAACUCAUGCCAUCUCAGCAGUUCGACUCUAGAAACUAUUUCCAACUAAAUGGACUGCAACCAAAUCAAUCAUACUCUCGCCAAGACCAACCAGCUCUUCAAUUAGUGUAAGGACCUCUAGCAUCAUCCAUGCUUCAUUAAUCACCGUAUAUUCUAACUUGCUCGCAUACCACUUGCAUUGUCAUUCAUUUAAUGUGCAUAUUUCACAUGUUCCAAGUGUCAUAGCACUCCCAAUAUAGUGAAAUGGUUUACAGAAUUAGAAAUAUCUAGGUCAAAUAACUUAUGUCCUUUGAUGAUCAUGAACACACAAUCCAAAAAUGAUUAGUAACUAUGUUGGGUUUGUUUGAUGAAAGUGUAAGAUGAUCCACUCAAUAGUACUGUUAAUUAGAUCACUUUACUUUUUCAACUAUUCACUAAAUAUAUAUAUAUAUACAGAGAGAGAGAGAGAGAGAUUGUUUGAUGAAAGUAUAAGAUGAUCCACUCAAUAGUACUGUUAAUUAGAUCACUUUACUUUUUCAACUAUUCACUAAAUAUAUAUAUAUAUAGAGAGAGAGAGAGAGAGAGAGAGGAGAUAAGACUUUGUUUGGCAUUAAGGAAAGGAAUGAAAAGAAACAAAUUUGAAGAACAUGAAAGAAAAAUUUAUUGAUUUUAAACUAAUUUUUUUCCCUUCUCAUUUCUUCCACUUCCCCUCCCCCCCCCCNNNNNNNNNNNNNNNNNNNNNNNNNNNNNNNNNNNNNNNNNNNNNNNNNNNNNNNNNNNNNNNNNNNNNNNNNNNNNNNNNNNNNNNNNNNNNNNNNNNNUAUAUCCUGUACUUUGCUUGACUGUAUGACGCGUGACUGCCUUCCUUCUGCAUGAUUGCAUGUUGCCUGUCUAUGUGGGCCGCACAUAUAUCCCCUUACCUCCAACUCUCUUGGUUUCGGUCAUUCCUUUCAUCCCGGUUCUCACUAUUGCAAGUGUGAGACCUUCUGUGUGUUUGCUCUCUGACCGAGCCAGAGAUUAGGAGUAGGGUCUAGCGACGGGCUAUAUCGAUGUACGGGAGCAUUCUGGAGGAGAGCGACACUUUGAUGUCGAUUGGAGUCCGAUCAUUGAAGACCUGUAUAGCCCGAAGCUAGGUUUCAUGGAUAUUUGUGUGGCCAGUGUGUUUCAUAUCCUGCUUUAGCUUUUUAGGGUUUCGGAUGCACCCACACCAUUCACUGUGCACUCUAGUCGACUAUUGAGUUUUGAGAGUUUGAGAGGUUUCACCAUAGGAAACCCCCUGGGAUGCGGGGUAGUGCAUGUGUGGAAGUGAUGACCACCUUGCAUGGAAGCGCCCCGUCUCUUCGGAGACGUGCAGAGGGUUGCGUACCGCCGGAGGGUAUGAUCGCUUCUGCUAGGGAUAUUUUAAAGUCCACCCUUAUCCAUUUAGAGCCACCUUGACCUUGUAGGUUGAGCCGUAGAUCCUUCGAUUAGGAUUCCCUCCCUACACGUGGGUGCAUCUGAGGGCUUUCCGUGCCUCUGUAGCCACAGUUUUGGAUCCGAUUUUCCCUCUGUUUAGUCUCCAGUUGAGAGUGCACUGAGAUCAGGACGAGUUUGAGUACGGUCGGACCGCUCAUCUUCACUUGGAUGCUUUGCUUGUUCCCGUUCAGAUUAUCUUUUCUUCUAUACAUUCCCCGAGCCAUAUCCUUAUUCCGUUCUUCGUGAUUUUCAGGAUCGGACCUUUGAUUCCUCGUCUUGAUAUACCUUUUGUGGAUCAGAGCAGAGGAGGAGUACUUUCAGGAUCAGGAUUUUUACUCUCAGUCUGGGUAUAGUUUCGUGGAUCAGAGUAGAGGGUAGACUAGUUCGGGUUUCAGAUACACCAGAUAUGGAUCAGCAGGUUGUCACGGUCGAUCAGUUCACGACUGCCAUGGCUUCUAUCCAGGAGGCUCUGGCUGGCCUUAGGCAGGAGAUCAGUGACCAGCAGAGCAGGCCACCUAUCGCUCAGGACGAGGUAUCCUAUGACCCGGCGCCACCUCCACCACCCCCACCCGUUCCUUCAGUGCAUCAGGCAUCACCAUAUGUAUUACACGGGCAUUCUGGGAUCGCUCCACCCGCAGUCGCCCAGGCCGUUGUUGCUGAUGACACGCAUGCGCGCAUGGACCGCAUCGAGCAGUGUAUGAGACAGAUGAGAGUGUCAGAUGGAUCCGUUGUUUGGGAUGAUUUUGGGGGUAUGCCGGUAGCCAGCUUGCCGGCUAAGUUCAGGAUGCCAGAUAUUGAGAGGUACACUGGUAUUGGUUGUCCGCGCCUCCACCUCAGACUUUAUAGCACCGUGAUGAGGGCUCAUGGACUGGACGAGCCUCAGAUGAUCACUCUUUUCCCCCUAUCUCUGAGUGGGGCGGCUCAGCGCUGGUUUGCGUCUCUAGAGUCCUCGAGACGUCGUACAUGGGAUGACUUGGCCCAGGAGUUCCUACGACAGUUUUCGUUUAACACUGUUGUAGACGUAUCGAGGAGAGAGCUCGAAGCUCUGAGGCAGAGGACAGAGGAGUCCGUUUCUUCUUUCAUUUCCCGCUGGCGCGGGAAGAUAGCUGAGAUAGUGGAUAGACCAUCAGAGAGAGACCAGAUUCAGAUGGUUUUGAAGAGCCUACAGCCGGGGAUCGCCAGACAUGUGGUCGGGGUCCCGUUCACAGAUUUUGGGUCUCUGGUUAUGGCUUUGUAUGAUGUCGAGGACGGCAUCACGAGAGGUUUAUGGGCAGAUUCUUCCCCUAGUGAUGUUAAGGGGAAGAAACCAUUCGUAGGACCGAGACCGACAGAGGUUGGUGCUAUCAGUUCAUCCAGUCAGAGGCCUCUCAGACACCAUCAGCCGAUCCCACAGUUUUCCGAGCCUCAUUCUUCCUAUGCAUCUCAUCAGUACAGGCCACGGGCACCUCGUCCGACUUACGAUCAGACACACAUGCCACAGACAUUGGUUUUACCUUCUUAUGCCACUCAGGGCAUUGAGAGACCCGCGGUCUCCUACACAGCCACAGGGCAGCCAUGCUACGCUGCUCAGUUCACCGCGAGACCUGCGGAGCCUUAUCCCCGACCUGGAGCCCAGCAGACCUCUGCACCCUUUGCUUUGAGGACGCAGAGACAGUUUUCACAGAUAGGCAUGCCGUUGAGCCAGGCUCUUCGGAAGCUUACAGAGGCUGGUUUAUUGACUGCUCUCACCCCUCGGCCACUACCUCAGCCUAUUCCAGCUCAGUUCAGGAUGGAUUUACACUGUGCUUAUCAUCAGGGGCCUGGACAUGAGACCGAUCGAUGCACCGCUCUGAGGCACGCUAUUCAGGAUCUGAUAGACCAGGGUUUGGUACACUUGGGCCAGCCGAGUGUGACCACAAACCCGUUGCCGACCCACACCACACAUGCAGUUCCUCCACCAGCCGGUGGUAUUCAUUUCUUGGACUUCGAUGAGACUGAUGAUCAUGUCCAUAUGUUGAGUUGGGAUGAUUCAGACCCGGAGCCUAUCAUGCCAGCUGGGAUUUAUGAGACGAGUGGGGUGACCCUAGAGCCACAGAUUCCUGCUCCAUUCCGAUUAGUUCCUGAGGCAGCAUCUGUACAGGCAGCCACUUCCGAGCCUCUGACAUUCACGUGCUAUAGCGUUCAGGCGCCGUACAUUCUGAUCCCAGAUGUUGAGGAGGUUCAGGCUCCACACAGUGAUGAUCCUCAGACUCCGGACGUUCAGUAUAUCCUCCGGGGAGGGAGAGUAGUGAGACAGCCACCUCCAGCCGCUGCCGCUAGACCCUUAGGGGAUACGUCAUCCCAGGAGGAGGUCAGAGCAGAGGAUGAUGAGAUUUUGAGGCAGUUGCAGAGCCUUUUAGCGUCCUCCAGUACUCAUCGAGAUGCACUGACUCGAGCUCUGAGCCAGAUCAGAGUCGAUACCACGACCACUCCUGAGGGACUCAUUCAUAUGAUGACGGCUGGCAGAGCCACUUGUAUCGUCUUUUCUGAUGAUGACUUGCCACCGGAGGGCUCAGACCACACUCGUCCGCUCUACAUAUCUGUCGGCUGUUCAGGCCGCCGAGUCCCAUCUGUCCUCUUGGACAAUGGCUCGGCCCUGAACGUAUGUCCUCUUGCCACUGCCAUCGCCCUUGGAUACGCUCCUUCUGAUUUUGGUCCCACUACUCAGACCGUUCGCGCAUAUGACAGUACUCGGAGGGAGGUCAUGGGUACAUUGGAGAUCGAGUUGCUGAUCGAUCCGGCCACUUUUGUCGUUGUAUUCCAGGUUUUGAGGAUUCCUACAUCCUUUAACCUGCUUCUGGGCCGACCGUGGAUCCAUAGAGCCGGGGCCAUUCCUUCUUCCCUUCAUCAGAAGGUGAAGUUUAUUCACGAUGGUCAGGUCGUCGUGGUACAGUCUGUGGGAGACAUGUUCAUUACUGCCGAGCCUGUGCUCGAGAUUAGUCACACUGAUGACGAUCUUUUUCUGACUGGAUUCACCUUCGAUGAGGUGCAGACUGUGGAGAUAGAGGAUUUCUGCCGGGAUUUUGUAGCCAUGUCCUUUGACCGGCAUGGGAGCACAGUGGUGCUCGAUAUUAUGCGGAGCAUGUCCUAUCUACCCGGCAUGGGGUUGGGUCGACGUCAGCAUGGACCGAGCGAGUUCAUAGCCAUCCCUGAUCACGACGUACCGUUCGGACUCGGGUUCAUUCCCACUGAGGCCGAUUAUCUCUACAUGGCGCGUUUGCGCAAGGAGAGAGUGAGGGCUCGACUGACCCACACACCUUUCUACUAUCCUCUUCGUCCAUACACCAGGAGCUUAUCUGAUUAUUUUGUGAGGGCAUCAGAGCCAUUGACCCGUGCGGACACGAUCAUUGGAGGACUUAGCACCACUCAGGAGGUCGAGCUUCAGCGCCUUGUCCAGCAGUUACGAUUGAGAGAUGGAGCCCCUGGUCCUUCGACUUCUGUGUUGAUUGCUCCAUCUUCUCCGGAUCACACGAGCCUUAUGACGCUUUGUUUUCCUGAUGAGACCGAUGAGCAUGGGACCUUUGCUGAGGUUGAGGACGUAGUGGACGGAGCCGCCCCACGUGACGAGUACAUCGACGAGAUGCUCGCCCUGAGCCUGAGCCCGAUCGAGGAGAGAGUUCAUCCUGGGCUCACUUCACCAUUCGAUCUUUUCGGGGUAUCUUUCAUCGAGAUCGUUGAGGAGAUCCAGACAGCCCCUACUCUGGAGAUUGCUGAGGAUGCUAUAGUUUUUUAUGAUUUUAUUGAUAGUCAUGUUGGCAUUGUUGAGGGAGUGUCCGACUUUGUGGACCCACCUCUUUCAUUUGACGUUCUGUCGGGGUUCGUCUCCCGUUCUGACAUUGUUUCCGAUGUUUCAUCUAUGGAUUUGAGCAUUUUUGAGUAUCUGCCUGUCUCUCGUGAUAUUGAUUUGUCUGCACCAUCUUCACCCACAUCACAGAUUUUUGAUAUUGAUGAUGAGAUUGCACAGCAUGACUCAGAUGAUGACUCAUCUUCUGUUUCCGAUUCGGAUCCCGUUGAUCAGAGGGUUUCACCUGUUGUAGGAGACACAGAGAUUGUUGAUUUUGGCACUGCAGAUCAGCCUAGGGAGUUGAGGAUCGGGUCAGAUCUAUCUACAGAUGAGAGGGACAGCCUCAUCCAGUUGCUCAGAGCAUAUUUGGACGUCUUUGCAUGGUCCUAUGAGGACAUGCCGGGCCUUGAUCCAUCUAUCGUCCAGCAUCGUUUGCCACUUCUGCCCCAUGCCAGACCGGUUAAGCAGAAGUUGAGACGAUUGCACCCUCGUUGGAGCUUGCAGGUGAAAGAGGAGAUUCAGAAGCAACUCAGUGUGGGGUUUCUAUCAGUGGUCGAGUACCCGGAGUGGCUGGCCAAUGUCGUCCCUGUUCCCAAAAAGGACGGCAAAGUGAGAGUUUGUGUUGAUUUCCGAGAUCUCAACAAGGCCAGUCCUAAGGAUGAUUUUCCUCUCCCACACAUCGACAUGUUAGUUGACAGUACAGCAGGUCACUCGAUGUUGUCCUUUAUGGACGGAUUUUCCGGGUACAGUCAGAUCUUGAUGGCUCCAGAGGACAUGGAGAAGACGUCCUUCAUUACCGAGUGGGGUACUUAUUGCUAUAGAGUCAUGCCAUUCGGAUUGAAGAACGCAGGAGCCACUUAUCAGAGGGCAGCGACCACACUCUUCCAUGACAUGAUGCAUCGGGAUGUCGAGGUUUAUGUAGACGACAUGAUAGUGAAAUCCCGAGAUAGAUCAGAUCACUUGACAGCUCUUGAGAGGUUCUUUGAGAGGAUCAGACAGUUCAGAUUGAGAUUGAAUCCCAAGAAGUGCACUUUUGGAGUGACUUCUGGGAAACUCUUGGGAUACAUAGUCAGUGAGCGAGGCAUAGAGGUAGAUCCGGACAAGAUUAGAGCCAUUCUUGACAUGCCUGCACCGAGGACAGAGAGAGAGGUCAGAGGCUUCCUAGGCAGACUUCAGUACAUCAGUAGAUUCAUAGCCAGAUUGACAGACAUCUGCGAGCCCAUAUUUCGACUCUUGAGGAAGAGUCAACCUACUGUUUGGGAUGAUCAGUGUCAGCGCGCAUUCGAGAGGAUCAGGGAGUACUUGUUGUCGCCUCCAGUUUUGGCUCCGCCUACACCAGGCCGUCCUCUACUCCUAUACCUAUCAGUUUCGGACGUGGCUUUAGGUUGCAUGUUAGCUCAGCUCGAUGAUUCGGGCAAAGAUCGAGCCAUUUAUUAUUUGAGUAAGAGGAUGUUAGAUUACGAGACGAGAUACGUCACGAUUGAGCGCUACUGCUUGGCAUUGGUUUGGGCCACUCGCCGAUUGAGACAUUACAUGACCGAGUAUUCAGUGCAUUUGAUAUCUCGUCUUGAUCCUCUGAGAUAUUUGUUUGACAGGCCCGCUCUAGUUGGUCGCCUUAUGAGAUGGCUGGUACUUCUGACUGAGUUUGACAUUCAUUAUGUCACUCAGAAGUCCAUCAGAGGGAGCAUUGUCGCAGAUCACUUAGCCUCAUUACCCGUUUCUGAUGCCAGAGCUAUUGACGAUGAUUUUCCAGACGAGGAUGUCGCAGCUGUGACUAGUCUGUCGGGUUGGCGCAUGUACUUUGAUGGUGCAGCCAACCAUUCUGGAUACGGGAUAGGCGUUUUGUUGAUAUCCCCUCAUGGUGAUCACAUUCCCAGAUCUGUUCGUUUGACAUUCUCGAAUCAACAUCUGGCCACGAACAACAUUGUUGAGUAUGAGGCAUGUAUCUUGGGGUUAGAGACAGCCCUCGAGCUUGGGAUUAGACAGAUGGAGGUGUUUGGUGACUCCAAUCUGGUAUUAAGACAGAUUCAGGGCGAGUGGAAGACUAGAGAUGUGAAGCUUAGGCCUUACCACGCGUAUUUGGAGCUACUGGUCGCGAGAUUUGAGGAUUUGAGAUAUACACAUCUGCCUAGAGCGCAGAACCAGUUUGCUGAUGCUUUAGCUACUCUAGCUUCCAUGAUCGACAUUCCCGCUGAUGCCACUGUUCGACCAUUGUUGAUCGAGUCAAGAUCUGCUCCUGCGUAUUGUUGUUUGAUUGAUGAUGUAGAGCCAAAUGAUGGUUUGCCAUGGUAUCACGACAUAUAUCACUUUUUGAGACUCGGCGUAUAUCCUGAGGCCGCCACGGCCAAGGAUAAGAGAGCAUUGAGACAGUUGGCGGCCCGAUUCGUCAUUUGCGGCGAGACGCUAUAUAGACGAUCAACUGACGGGAUGCUAUUGUUGUGUUUAGACCGUGCCUCUGCCGAUCGAGUGAUGAGAGAGGUUCAUGCGGGAGUUUGUGGACCACAUAUGGGAGGGCAUAUGUUGGCCCGUAAGAUCAUGAGGACCGGCUAUUUCUGGUUGACUAUGGAGACGGAUUGUUGCCAGUUCGUCCAGAGAUGUCCUGAGUGUCAGAUACACGGAGAUCUCAUUCACGUGCCGCCCUCAGAGUUGCAUGCAUUGACUUCACCAUGGCCGUUUUCAGUGUGGGGUAUCGAUAUCAUCGGGAAGAUUUCGCCGAAAUCUUCCAGUGGUCAUGAGUUCAUCCUGGUAGCUAUUGAUUACUUUACCAAGUGGGUGGAGGCCGCCUCGUAUGCGAGAUUGACAUCAUCUGGAGUUGCCAGUUUCAUUAGAUCGCACAUCAUUUGUCGCUAUGGAGUCCCUCACGAGCUUAUUUCAGACAGAGGGGUGCAUUUCAGAGCAGAAGUUGACACCUUAGUACAGAGAUACAGCAUUCGGCAUCAUAGAUCGUCUGCGUACAGGCCGCAGACGAAUGGGGCAGUAGAGGCCGCGAAUAAGAAUAUUAAGAGGAUAUUGCGGAAGAUGGUUGAGACUUCUCGGGAUUGGUCCGAGAAGCUUCCUUUCGCACUAUGGGCUUACAGGACUUCUUUUCGCACCUCUACAGGAGCCACACCCUACUCAUUGGUGUACGGUAUGGAGGCAGUGCUACCAGUUGAGAUCGAGAUGGGUUCAUUGAGGGUAGCCUUGGAGCAGCAGAUUCCCGAGACGGAUUGGGCUCAGGCUCGAUUUGAUCAACUCAAUCUCCUGGAUGAGAGGAGAUUGAGAGCAGCAGACCAUGUUCAUGCAUAUCAGAGGAAGAUGGCCCGCGCUUUCAAAAAGCGGGUCAAGCCCAGACCACUGCAUGUAGGUGACUUAGUUUUGAGAGUCAUCAGAGGAUUGAUCAGAGAUCCUAGAGGGAAGUUCAGACCCAGUUGGAGCGGGCCUUACUUCAUCAGAGAGUUGUCCCCAGAGGGCGCCGCAUGGUUGAUGGAUUUGGAUGGAAACCAGUUCUCAGAGCCGACUAAUGUGGAUCAGCUAAAGAGGUACUAUGUUUGAGACCAUGGUCGCAGGAUGGGUGGCCAUCAUUUCGGUUAGCCAUAUCCCUUUGUCCCUCUUCUGAUAUAUAUAGUCCAUUGCUGGCCCAUUUGAGCCUCGCGCGCGCAUUAUAACCUUUCUUUCUUAUUGCCUUGCUCACACUUUCUCACCGGGAUAGGGGCUCUCUAGUGUAUGCAUGCAUUGUUUAGGAGUCUCAUGGGCCUUGGACCUAGGGGUACAUUCUCCUCAUUAUAUUCUCUAUAUGUUUGCAUCACUGCAUUUUCAUCUCACCUCAUCGGUUGUGUUAUUCGUCUCAUCUUAUUUAUCCUGUCUACUACUCAUUCACGACAUCUUCUUUCACCUCGAGGGGUGAUCCUCCUCAUUUCAUCACAUGGAGGGUAGUCAUGUCAUUUCCACUAUUUAUCCCACGGACACUGAUUCAGGGAUCCUCAGUUUGAGAAGGUCACCUCAUCAGAUUGAGUUUGUGAUAUAUUGAUAUUUGAGGGCAUGUUUAUUCAUUUUUGAUCCCAUCUUUGGGUCUUCUUUGUAUGCGUUCAGAUCAUGUACAGUUCAUUUAUAUGUUGUAAAAAAAAAAAAAAAAAAAAAAAAAAAAAAGAAAUAAAAACCAGGUGUGUAUUGUUAUCCAUCACUGAGUGUAUGUAUUGAUAUUCGAGGGUCACUUGAUCGAGUGUGUUUGUUGACGGGAGUUCGUAUGUGAGCUUUCCGGGAUCCCUCAGGCUUUGUAUUCAUUUUGUCGCAUAUUUUGUGAGCGAGAUGAGUGACUUUCUCUUGGGAGCUCUGGGUUAUUGUCCGUUCCAUCAUUAUGUUCGUAGUUGAUGUGACAUCAUUCCACGUCUGAUCUGAGUUGAUCAUCACUCCUUUUGAUGUUAUUCGCUUCAUCAUCAUCAUCCUUGUUUUCACUUCUGAUUCAUCAUUCUCACUUCACCUCUUAUUCUUUUCUUACCACGACCCAUCUCGGGUUUGAUAUUCCCUUCGUAUCACCAUUACAUAUCUCAUUAUCAGUUUGAUUUGCUUCACUUGUCUCCUCAUUGACACUAUGUUCACAUUAGGCACCGUUGGGUCCAUGGCUCACGAGGAUUUUCUGUACAUGUUGCAUUUCGUACACGAGGGCAUGGGUUUUGAUCAUUGGGUAUUUGAGCUUAGUUUCCCUUCGUUUCUAUCACCCUAUCACCCUAGCCUACAUUACGUCCCGUGUCUUAAGACCACCCUGAGGCCAUGGGAUCAGAUAUCGUCUUCUACGGCUUCUAUGUGGACAGGUGUUUGAGAUUCGGUUGACAUCCAAAUAUUUUCCAUGCAUCUUCUUCUGGGAGACACUUCUCAGAUGUUUAGAUCCGUUUCGACCGUGUUUGGAUUACCAGGAUCACGUGUUUGAUGAGGGAUGAUUCGAUGUCACCUGUUUUUCCUGAUUUGUCACACGUCAGAUGCCAUACUGGGGCAUAUUCCGUCUCGGAGGAUUUUUAUGAAUCUUCGCAGAGGUCACAUGUUCUAGGAUAGAUGAUUCCAUGCUAUUUGAUCUCCGACCUAUCCUACAUUUUGAUGCCAUACAGGGGCAUAUUUCCGUUCGGAUGAGAUUUACAGAUCAUGAGGGAGUUGCGUGCUUAUCCUUAUUUGCGAGAUGUAUGCAGGGAUGAUGAUAUAUUCGCUAUCCUCGCGAUGAUUCCUUAGUGGAGCCUAUCGAGAUCCAUCUAGCCAGUUGCAGGCAUAGAUGAUUUGAGCUCAUCUGAUUUUUCGACAUGUUACAUUUUCGAUGCCACAUUGGGGGCAUAUUCCCCAUCUUGAUCGAGAUUUAUAGAUCCCCACUGGUAUACAUGAUCAUCCACGGUUAUGAGAUACACGCCAGGUUGAUGAUUGAUUUCAUUUUGUCCUGAUACUCCGAGGAGCCUCUCUUGACUCGUUCAGCCAGAUUUAUACUCUUUGAUAUAGUCGUGAUUCCUGGAUGGGGUUAUGUUGAGUGCCUAGAUUCCCACGUCAUCAUUUCAGUGCGGUACACAUCAGGUCUUUUAUGCAUCCCCAUGGUGUUAUUCUCGGGUCAUCAGGGCGGAUCGGGUACAUCUGAUGCCAUACUGGGGCAUAUUUCCCUCAUUUAGCCAUGGAGGCGAUCGUUCUCUCACAUGUCUGUCGCAGUCUCCAUCACUCGGCCGAGAUAUAUUAUAUUCGCCUCACUGACCGUUGUUCCUGAGCUCUUCAUUGACAUGAUCUCUUAGUGGUGCGUCGUUCGAGACUCGUAGAGCCCCUUUUAGCCAUUUCUAGCAGUUUGAGAUUUGCAGCGGCAUGCCACACUGGGGCAUAUUUCCCCCACAUUGUUUCCUUGCAGUCUGGCGUUCAGAGCCGCCGUUCAUUCACGGUUUACGACAUUCAGAGUCAUCAUGUCACAUUUUUUCAGUUCGGCGUUCAGAGCCACUUCUCAGUUUGACGUUCAGAGUCAUCACCAUCACUUCUCAGCUUCGGUGUUCAGAGCCAUCAUCACCGCUUCUCAGUUUCGGCGUUCAGAGCCAUCAUCGAUUUUCAGUUCGGUCAGAGCCACUUCUCAGUUUGACGUUCAGAGUCAUCACCAUCACUUCUCAGCUUCGGUGUUCAGAGCCAUCAUCACCGCUUCUCUUAGUUUCGGCGUUCAGAGCCAUCAUCGGUUUUCAGAUCGACAUUUAGAGUCCCCUCCUCGGUUUCGGCGUUCAGAGUCAUUAUCACUUCUCAGCUUCGGUGUUCAGAGCCAUCAUCACCGCUUUUCUCAGUUUCGGCGUUCAGAGCCAUCAUCGGUUUUCAGAUCGACAUUCAGAGUCCCAUCCUCGGUCUCGGCGUUCAGAGUCGUUAUCACUUCUCAGUUUGACGUUCAGAGUCAUCAUCACUACUUCUCUUAGUUUCGGCGUUCAGAGCUAUCAUCGGUUUUCAGAUCGACGUUCAGAGUCGCGUUCUCGGUUUCGGCGUUCAGAGUCGUUAUCACUUCUCAGCUUCGGUGUUCAGAGCCAUCAUCACUACUUCUCUCAGUUUUGGCGUUCAGAGUUAUCAUCAGUUUUUAGAUCAACGUUCAGAGUCGCGUUCUCGGUUUCGGCGUUCAGAGUCGUUAUCACUUCUCAGCUUCGGUGUUCAGAGCCAUCAUCACUACUUCUCUUGGUUUCGGCGUUCAGAGCCAUCAUCGGUUUUCAGAUCGACAUUCAGAGUCGCAUCCUCGGUUUCGGCGUUCAGAGUCGUUAUCACUUCUCAGUUUGACGUUCAGAGUCAUCAUCAUUACUUCUCAGUUUCGGUGUUCAGAGCCAUCAUUAUCACUUCUCAGUUCGACGUUCAGAGUUAUCAUCAUCACUUCUCAGUUUCGGCGUUCAGAACUAUCAUCGGUUUUCAGAUCGACAUUCAGAGUCACAUCCUCGGUUUCGGCGUUCAGAGUCGUUAUCACUUCUCAGUUUGACGUUCAGAGUCAUCAUCAUCACUUUUUAGUUUCGACGUCCAGAUCCAUUAUCAUCAUCUUGCUUAGGCUUCCAGAGCCAUUACUGUCAUCUUGUUUAGGCUUCCAGAGCCAUUAUCAUCAUCUUGCUUAGGCUUCCAGAGUCAUUAUCAUCAUCUUGCUUAGGCUUCCAGAGUCAUUACCGUCAUCUUGUUUAGGCUUCCAGAGCCACCACCGUCAUUUUGUUUAGGCUUCCAGAGUCAUUAUCAUCAUCUUGUGUUUAGGCUUCCAGAGUCAUUGCUAUCAUCUUGUUUAGGCUUCCAGAGUCAUUAUCAUCAUCUUGUUUAGGCUUCCAGAGUCAUUAUCAUCAUCUUGCUUAGGCUUCCAGAGUCAUUAUCAUCAUCUUGCUUAGGCUUCCAGAGUCAUUACCGUCAUCUUGUUUAGGCUUCCAGAGCCACCACCGUCAUUUUGUUUAGGCUUCCAGAGUCAUUAUCAUCAUCUUGUUUAGGCUUCCAGAGCCAUUGCUAUCAUCUUGUUUAGGCUUCCAGAGUCAUUAUCAUCAUCUUGCUUAGGCUUCCAGAGCCAUUACCGUCAUCUUGUUUAGGCUUCUAGAGUCAUUACCGUCAUCUUGUUUAGGCUUCCAGAGCCACCACCGUCAUUUUGUUUAGGCUUCCAGAGUCAUUAUCAUCAUCUUGUUUAGGCUUCCAGAGCCAUUGCUAUCAUCUUGCUUAGGCUUCCAGAGUCAUUAUCAUCAUCUUGCUUAGGCUUCCAGAGCCAUUACCGUCAUCUUGUUUAGGCUUCUAGAGUCAUUACCGUCAUCUUGUUUAGGCUUUCAGAGCCAUUACUGUCAUCUUGUUUAGGCUUCCAGAGCCAUUACUGUCGUCUUGGUUUGCUUACAGAGCUGUUAUUUUCUAGCUUAGUUUUUAGAGUUAGUUUUUGGUUUGCUUACAGAGCUGUUAUUUCCUAGUUUAGUUCUUAGAGUUAGUUUUUGGUUUGCUUUCAGAGCUGUUAUUUUCUAGUUUAGUUUUUAGAGUUAGUUUUUGGUUUGCUUACAGAGCUGUUAUUUCCUAGUUUAGUUCUUAGAGUUAGUUUUUGGUUUGCUUACAGAGCUGUUAUUUCCUAGUUUAGUUCUUAGAGUUAGUUUUUGGUUUGCUUUCAGAGCUGUUAUUUUCUAGUUUAGUUUUUAGAGUUAGUUUUUGGUUUGCUUACAGAGCUGUUAUUUCCUAGUUUAGUUCUUAGAGUUAGUUUUUGUUUUGCUUUCAGAGCUGUUAUUCUCAGUUUAGCAUUUAGAGUUAGUUUUUGGUUGGCUUCCAGAGCUGUUGUUUUCUAGUUUAGUUUUUAGAGUUAGUUUUGGUUGGCUUCCAGAGCUGUUGUUUCCUAGUUUAGUGUUUAGAGUCAGUCUUGUCAUGUAGAGUCACAACUCCUAGCAUUCCUAUUCAGUGGCAUUGCGUGUCUCACCUUCAUUGGAUUUGCACUUAUUAUCGUCCUCCUCACUUCGUUACCUUGUGCUUAUCGUGUAUUUAUCAUGUAGUCCACAUAGGGCAGUCUCCUUUAGACGCAUUCUUGUCCGUACCCCAGGGUGGUUCGACCGUUACUCACCUCUAGCAUUUGGUUUUUCGAGUCACUUUCGGGAGACAUCUUAGAGGGAGCUUGGAUCCUUAGUAUGGCCGCAGAGGCAUUUUGUGACAUCUUUCUCUUUUAGGAUUAGAGCCUUUGUGUUCGUCUACUAGCCUGGGUGACUUCGCGUUUCACCAAUAUCCCUAUGGGGGUCUCUUUGAUUCUUCGGUAGAGUUCACUUCGUUUCACUCACUAUUCACACUUACUUUUCACUCCAGUGUUCAUGAUCCUUACACUCGUGAACUCUACCGAAGAGGGGCAUAUUUGUAGACCCCCAUUUUGGGAGUCAUUCUGCAGUUUGCUUUUAGCCAGGUGUCGCGCUCCUAAGUACCCACGUGUCAAUCCCUGAUUGGCCAUCAUGGAAUCAGAGUAGUGCUUUUGAAGGCCAAUCCGGGGUCGACACGUGUCAUCAUGGAAUCAAACAAAAAUCAUUUUGGCUGUUAUUUGAGGGAGAAAAACCAGCCGCAUGGGGAGGUCGUCUGGCCGUUGGAGGAGUUUUAGGAGAGAGGGCAGAGGCUGGCAGAGGAGUGGGGGAGAGGUUUUGCUUUUGAAAAGGCCGUUAGAGAUAUUUUCGUGGGAGGAUGCAGCUGCAUUGAAGGGGGGAGCUUCCUUUCGAGUUUUGGGGAGAAGAUAUUUUGAAGGGGUUCCAGGGAGUUUUUCCAUGAGAGAGUGUUAGUCUGAGAGGAGAGAAAAGGUGAUUUUUCUGACCGUUUAGGAGGAUAUUGUUUUGAGAAGAGAAGUCUUCUUGAGUUUUGAGGAAGCAAAGAGGUUCAGACUCUGGAGAGGCAAACAAGUUACAGAGGAAGGUUUUGACUUAAAGAGCAAGCUAGAAACAGAGCAGUGGAUUUGAAGCCCCAGAUACUUGGUUGAGAAAGAGAUUUUCAGAGCGUUGCCGUUUGCUGAUCAGGUACGCAUCCACUUCCACUUCAGUUAUCCUCUAUUGCAUAUUCUGAUACUCAUAUGUGCAUGAUUUGAUUUGAGUAUUCACUGAUUUUCUCAUUGAUUGCCAUGUCAGCUUCAUUUUAGUAGUAGAGACCCGACUUUAGGGACUUAGAGGGGUGCUACGGUCUUUACCGUACCUUCCCGAUAAGUAACCUGACCCCCGAACCCGAUUCGGUUUUUCGUAGAUCACCUUUUCCAAAAUAAGGAGUCACACUUAGGGUUUUUCUUUCUUAUUUUGUUUACCCUUUAAAAAUAAAACAAAAAUAAGUGGCGACUCCAAGUCAUUUUCAAAUAAUCAAUAAAAAUCAAUUUUUCAAAAUAAAAUUCGAGCUCGCCAUCGAGUGGGAAACGCAUUCGAGCAAUCGAAAUGCGGGGUCCACACAUCUUCUUCUUCUUCUUCACUUCUCCAUUGCACGGUUGAGGUUUGGGCAUUAUUGGGAGUGGUGUCGGGUUAAAAAAUACCAUAAAAAAGGGGCUGGAAGGGAAAACAAGGCCAAAAUGAUGUCAAAAUCAUUUUGGCCUUUUUUUUUUUAAAGGAACAAGCUCCAAAAUGACGUUGUUUUGACUUGUUCCUUUUAAAAUAAAAGGGCCAAAAUGAUGUCGUUUUGGACCUAAAAAAAAUAAUAAAAUUAGGGCUUCUCAACCCCAGUCCUCUGCAACCCGACGACGACUGAAGAAGAGAAGGAGAAGAAGAAGAAUGAGGGCAUACCCGACUGGAGGCGAGUCAGGUGACCGCGUCGCGCCUUGCUGGAUGCAAGCACCUUGCGUGCCUACGCGGCGCCUUCUUGAAGGGGCGUCACCUGUCUUCAGGCAAGGUGCCGGAGGGUGGCGUCGCGCCACCCCGAGCCUAGGCGUGCCUUUCACAACUAUGUAUUUAUCUAUACUUCAUUUCAACAUUUUAAAUUUUCAGAUUGGUUUUCAAGCAAUCAAAGGACAUUUAUCCUCGAUGACUACUAAUAAGGUAUUACAUCUUAAACAUAAUAUUCAAAAUAUUAAGUUUUAAAUUUAUACUACAAUUAUUAACCAAAUCAAACUAAUCUUAGUUGAAGUUACAACUCUAUAGUCUAGAAUAGGGUGCUAUAGUCAAAGUUGAUUCACUAACUCUAUGGAUAAUAGUCAAAAACAUUUUGACAAAACAAAAAGAACAAUAGUUUAUAAAUCAACUUAUAAAAAUUAAUUAAUAUUUAUCAUUAUGCCAUUUAUGAUAACUUUAAUUUCAUGUUUUUACAUUAAUAAAAAAAUACAAUUGUUACAUCUUUUGAGUUUGAUUUGAUUAUGUUACAUAUCUCUUUAUCAAUAAUAUAAUAAUAUUAAUAAAAUUACACAUAAAUUAUUUUUAAUACUAUUCUCAAUAAGGUAAAACUUAUUGAACAAAAAAAUCAUGGGAUGUUGACUUUCUUAAUAGGUAUGUCCUAUAUAUUAUAUAAUUUAUUUCUAAAUAAUUAAAUUGAAAUUUUAUAAACAAAAUUUAUCUUAUCACCAAUUCAUUUUAGGGAAAAGAAACAUGAAAGAGAAGAAUUUUAUAUUAAUGAGGCAAGUAUACAUUGGUAUCAUUAUAAAUGAAUGUAACUUUCAUAAUAUUACCAUUUUCUAAAUUAAAUUUUAAAAUAAUAAAAGUUAUUUCUUCAAUGCAAAUUAUGAAGUUUUUUAAACAACAAGAGAAAAAUGAAAAAAAAAAAAAAUCAAAAAUCAAUAUAAUGUAAUGUACCCUUAGCUUAUAUAAAAAUAUUUUGCUCAUAUAUUUUUUAAAACAUCAUUUUUCUAUUUCAGCUAAUAUCUUUUCAAAUAUGUGUAACUUUUCUACAAGAGAAAAAAUAGAAAGAAAUAUAACUCAAAGUACUACAAAGACGAGCAAGUAGUUAAUGAUCAUUAUAGUGAUAGUUCCUCCAAACUUUUGCAUGAGGGCAACCAAGUUAAUUAUUUCAAAGAAUACAUCACAAUAAUGGUGGAUUACAAAAUAUAUAUAAAUAUGUUUGUUGUAUAAUUUUAUAUUUUAUCUAUUUUUCUACAAGUACAACAUCUUAGAGUUACAAUAAUAAAUAUCAAUUUAAAUAAUGUAUUUCAAAUAAUGAUGAACAGCAAAUUCAAAUUUUAAAAACAAUUAUAUGACCCUUAAGAUGAGUUUCAUAUCUAACUUAAUUACUAAAUUAUAAAAAAUAUAAAGAAUUUAAAGCAACCUAAAACAUCAUCUUAUAUUAAAAUAAUAUAUUACCAUAUGUUGUCUAUUACUAUAAUCAUAUACAAUAAUAUAUUUCAUUUAUAGAUUAAUUUAAUUAUAUGUAUGUUACAUCAUUUUAUAUAUUAUUUUAAUCAAUAUAAAAUCAUUUAUAAAUAAUUUAAAUCAAACAAAUUUAAAUUCACUCACUAAUACCUUUCCAAACGUUAUCUCUAUUAUUUCAUAAAUUCCAUGUAUUGAUAAUCACCUAUCCACAUAUACAUUCGCGUGCAUCAAAUGUGCUUUAUACUAAUAUACUUGUAAACUUGCCAUUCAUUUCUUUUCUUCAUCAUUUUUCAUUUUUCAUUUUAUAGUCUUUCUUGUUAAUGACAUCUACUCAUCAUAAGAUAUGGUGGUUGAAUUUGCUCCUUUUCCUACUCUCAAACUUACAACUUGACACUCUUUGGGGAUCCACAAGUACCUUGUUACUUCAUAUUAGGCUAUUCAUUGUUGGAUAGUGGAAACAAUAAUGCCCUUUUGACACUUGCAAGAGUCGAUUACUUGCCAUACAGAAUUGACAACAAUAAUUCGUAUAACAUGAAUUUGAUUUGAAUUGAUCAAUUUAAUGAUUAUGUUGAGUUACCUAAUAGCAAAUUUAAAUUAUUUAAUUCAUAUUUGAUUUAUUUUAAAUUUAUGCUUGAAUAAAUAGAUUAAUUAAGUCAUAAACAUAUUUAGUUAAGACAUUAAUCAUAUAGAUUUGAUUAUUAAAUGGAUUAAAUAGUUUUAUUAGGUAUUAUUUGUUUAAUAAUUAUGUUAUAUUUAAGUUUAUAUUUUUAAUCUAAUUAUUAUUCAUGCGGUGUUUGGGUUGACCUAACUAAUAGAAUGCUUAAACUUUGGUACGUACAAUAUGAGCCGCAUGACCUGUAGUGUUUGGGUUGAUCUAGUUAAUAAAAUGUUUAAACUCUGACACAAUAUGAGCAUGACCCAUCGACACAAAUUCUCAUCCUAAUCUUGAACUUCAAAACGAUGACACAAGUAUCCUUAUCGUGAUGAAAGGAGCAGUAAUUUUCUGUGCUCAUGUAUUGAAAGAGAAACAGUUAGAAGGUCAUGAGACGGAAGAAGCGUGCCGAUGCACAAUUUCAUAAAUACAAUUAAAAAUCUUGGAAAAAGGUCUUUCACUUUAUCUAUUAGACAUUAAAAGAUUCAUAAUUCUACUUUCUUUUAGGCUUCCCGAACUCCAUCUCUCCCUAUAUAUACUUGUAAAUUUGUCAUUCAUUUCCUCAAAUCAUUCAUUUCCCUUCUUCGUCCUGUCGUUUUUUGUCUUGUUAUAAUGGCAUCUACUCAUCAGAAGAUAUGGUGGUCGACAGUGCUCCUUUUCCUGCUUUCGAACUUACAACAUGGCACUCUUGGGGAUCCACAAGUAUCGUGUUACUUCAUAUUAGGCGAUUCAUUGUCGGACAGUGGCAACAACAAUGCCCUUUCUACACUUGCAAAAGUCAAUUACCUGCCAUAUGGAAUUGACUUCCCUCAAGGUCCUACUGGAAGAUUCUGCAAUGGUCGAACAGUUGUCGAUGUUAUAGGUCCAUCUUCUCACCUUACUGCCUG
rnacentral:lncRNA from 1 species